GGCGCUGUGGCUCAAAUGGUAGAGCGCUACACUUGAGCUGUAGAGCUGAGGGACAGUGUCC
rfam:Dipodomys ordii ctg_broad_rename0000616, whole genome shotgun sequence.